GACGAACGCUUGCGGCGUGCUUAACACAUGCCAGUCGAACGGAAAGGCCCUGCUUUUGUGGGGUGCUCGAGUGGCGAACGGGUGAGUAACACGUGAGUAACCUGCCCUUGACUUUGGGAUAACUUCAGGAAACUGGGGCUAAUACCGGAUAGGAGCUCCUGCUGCAUGGUGGGGGUUGGAAAGUUUCGGCGGUUGGGGAUGGACUCGCGGCUUAUCAGCUUGUUGGUGGGGUAGUGGCUUACCAAGGCUUUGACGGGUAGCCGGCCUGAGAGGGUGACCGGCCACAUUGGGACUGAGAUACGGCCCAGACUCCUACGGGAGGCAGCAGUGGGGAAUAUUGCACAAUGGGCGGAAGCCUGAUGCAGCAACGCCGCGUGCGGGAUGACGGCCUUCGGGUUGUAAACCGCUUUCGCCUGUGACGAAGCGUGAGUGACGGUAAUGGGUAAAGAAGCACCGGCUAACUACGUG
rnacentral:rRNA from 1 species